rnacentral:rRNA from 1 species
UACGUAGGUGACGAGCGUUAUCCGGAAUUAUUGGGCGUAAAGCGCGCGCAGGCGGUUUCUUAAGUCUGAUGUGGAAGCCCCCGGCUCAACCGGGGAGGGUCAUUGGAAACUGGGAAACUUGAGUGCAGAAGAGGAAAGUGGAAUUCCAAGUGUAGCGGUGAAAUGCGUAGAGAUUGGAGGAACACCAGUGGCGAAAGGCGGACUU